UUUAAAAUUGAGAGUUUGAUCCUGGCUCAGGACGAACGCUGGCGGCGUGCUUAACACAUGCAAGUCGAGCGAUGAAGCUUCCUUCGGGAAGUGGAUUAGCGGCGGACGGGUGAGUAACACGUGGGUAACCUGCCUCAAAGUGGGGGAUAGCCUUC
rnacentral:rRNA from 1 species